rnacentral:rRNA from 1 species
UACGUAGGGUGCGAGCGUUGUCCGGAAUUACUGGGCGUAAAGCGUACGCAGGCGGUUUGUUAAGUUGGAUGUUAAAGCCCUGAGCUCAACUCAGGUCUGGUAUCAAUACUGGCAAGCUGGAGAUAGGCAGAGGAAAGUGGAAUUCUGUAUGUAGGGGUAAUAUCCGUAGAUAUACAGAGGAACACCAAAAGCGAAGGCAGCUUUCUGGGCCUUUUCUGACGCUCAUGUACGAAAGCGUGGGGAGCAAACGGG